rnacentral:lncRNA from 1 species
ACCUUCAACCGCUGAGAGUGGUCAUUGCGGAUAAACAGCACAGUUUCCCCAACCCUUCCUGAGACAAUCUUGCGGUAUACUCCACAUCAUCCCCUGAGGGCCCCUCUGGGACUGUGCCCCAGUUGCCCAUAAAGGUAACUAGCUCUUUUUUUUGUUUGUUUGUUUGUUUUUGAGACAGAGUCUUGCCCUGUUGCCCAGACUGGAGUGCAGUGGCAUGAUCUUGGCUCACUACAACCUCUGCCUCCCGGGUUCAAGCAAUUCUCCUGCCUCAGCCUCCCAAGUACCUGGGAUUACAGGCACCCACCGUCACGCCCGGCUAAUUUUUGUAUUUUGUUUCACCAUGUUGACUAGGCUGGUCUUGAACUCCUGACUUCAGGUGAUCCGCCCUCCUCAGCCUCCCAAAGUGCUGGGAUUACAGGCAUGAGCCACUGCGCCUGGCCAACUGCCCAACUUCUAACUGGUAGUAUGUGCAUCUUUUUCUAUGAGUUUUUUGGGUUUUUUCUUCUGGUUGUCAGAGUCAAGCAGCCUAAAGGAGGUUGGAGAAUGAAUAUUCCUUCUCUUCUUUCCAGCUGCCUUCAACCAAGGAAUGGAUAGAGGUGGUGUAUAAAUACCCCAGCUUCCUGAUUGUUUUGCAGUGGGCAGGUCUAUGCAAACUUACCCCAAAGUCCAAGGAAGCUGAGAGGCUGAAGAGAUGAUGCUGACAUACUCAGUUCCUUAGAAAGAAACUUUUAAUAGAAACUUAGAAACAGAUGCCACGUCUGUGUCUCCUGCGGUGGCCAGACAAGAUGGUGGAUCCCCACUCCAUUAUCUCCCAGACCCAGGGCUUCUAUACCAUAGGAGAGGGGUGGUUCAGAAGGGAUGUGUAGAACAGUUGAAGUAAGAUAACAUCAAGGUUGUUUGACCUAAGGACAGGAUAUAGAGUCAGAACCUGCUCUUACACAAGGAAUAAUAGAUAAACUAGAAAUCUUAGAGGCCUUCUUGGAACAGGGGUUAAUCAGAAGCCAACAUGGCGGAUUAGCUUCCAAGAUGGAGUUGCUGAUCCUUCAGGUAAGAUAACUCUGAGACAUGUGUUCUACACAGGUGGAAUUAAGCUUCACUUGCCUAGGGCAGUAACUGUCUUGAUAACUUGCUUAAUAUUGGUUGUCCUCCUUUCCCUGGGUCUCUUUUCUUCUCUACUCGUAUUUCUUUUGCCUUCCAAAGAAGUGAUGUGUCCUUGAGUCUUUGUCUCAGGGUCUGUAUCUAGAGAAUCUAAACUAAGAUAUGAGGUGUGCCAACAGGGGAUUCCAAACUAAGACACUUAUCAAUUAGAUCCAAUUGCAAACGGUCUUGCUUUAAAUCUCCCCAAAAGAACAGAAUGGGACAUGCUGUUCUUCAACUAAACAGCACUCCUGUUUACCAUCUGGGGCCAAACCACGGGGCUCCUAUUCCCUGAGUGGAAGGACCUCAUCUUCCCAUGGUAUUCACAAGGCUCACACCCCACCUUUUCAUACAUAAAUCACCCCCUUUAUUUCACAUGAACAUCUUUGUUGUAUUUUGCAGAAAGUUACCCUUACUGAAACACAGAGGACGCUCUGUUGGUAGCUUUGGAAAUGGCCCUUGGGGCUCCAGCUGGGAGCAUCUCAUGUUCUUGUUCCUACGUAGUUACUUUCUGGGGAUAGUCACACAUGUUGAAUGUUGGCAGGGAAGAGUUACCCUAGUCCAACACUUUCAUUUGCCAAAAAUAAGUUUUGAGGAUGGCUGAUGGGAAAUCCCACAGUGCCUACCAAUGGUAUCAUGCUACUUUAUGCUGUUUUCUGAAUGUUCUUUCAUUUUAUAACGUGAAUAUAAUGAAUGUUUGCUGAUUUGGGGCCACCCUGAAUCUACGGCACUCUCUUCCAUGCCAAGUAACCUGAGUUUCCAUUUGGGAACCACCCCUUCUGGAAGUUCGCUCCAUCAGGAAGUUCCCUUGAGCCUGUAACCCAACAAGGAGCAUGUGACUUAGCACCAACGAACCAGAGCAGUGGAGGUACAAUAACUAUGAUGAUUGGCUAGGUACAGUGGCUCACGCCUGUAAUCCAGUGCUUUGGGAGGCUGAGGCGGGGGGAUGACCUGAGGUCAGGAGUUCGAGACCAGCCUGGACAACAUGGUGAAACCCCGUCUCUACUAAAAAUACUAAAAUUAGCCGGGUAUGGUGGCGGGAGCCUGUAAUCCCAGCUACUUGGGAGGCUGAGGCAGGAAAAUUGCUUGAACCUGGGAGGUGGAGGUUGCAGUGAGCCAAGAUUGCACCACUGCACUGCAGCCUGGGUGACAGAGCGAGACUCCGUCUCAAACAAACAAACAAACAAAAAAACUACGAUGAUUGGCUUAGAGAUGGGUAUGUGGCACAGAUUGGUUCAAUCAGAGUUCAUCUCAGGAUUUGUUUAGUAGCUACUAAGAAGGCAUGCUUUCUCUUGCUCCUCGUGAGCUUAGAGUGGUUGGGCAGCUAACAAAUGCACUUGGCUAACUGAACAUCUCAAUUCCAGAGGAGCUGUUUAUUCCCCCAGCUCUCCUGUUGGGUCACCAUGGUCUACUGUGUCCCUUGACUGAAGGAUGACACAGCUUCUGUCAGGUAGCCUCUCUGUAGAGCUCCCUCUCUCUGGACCUGGAGACCACUUCUUCCUUUGCUCCUCCAGGCCACUGUUACUAUGUGGGGGUGCUAAGGACCCCUCUGUUACUAUCUAGCUGUGAUAAACUCCCUUUGUUACUAUCGCUGGAGUGAUGCAGCAUCCCUGGGUUCUGUAAAUCCCACCUACAUUUUGUUAUUGUUGUUGUUAAUUGUUUAUUUAUCAAGAGAAACUAUUUCUUUUUUCUUUUUUUUCUUUCUUUUUUUUUUUUUUGAAACAGUCUUGCUCCAUUGCCCAGGCUGGAGUGCAAUGAUGGCACAAUCUCGGCUCACUGCAACCUCCGCCUCCCAGGUUCAAGUGAUUCUCCUGCCUCAGCCUCCUGAGUAGCUGGGAUUACAGGCGCACGCCACCACACCUGGCUAAUUAUUUCUCGUAUUUUUAGUAGAGAUGGGGUUUCACCAUGUUGGCCUGGCUGGUCUCGAACUCCUGACCUCGUGAUCUGCCCACCUUGGCCUCCCAAAAUGCUAGGAUUACAGGAAUGAGCCACCACACCUAGUCAAGAAACUCUUUCUUUCUUUCUUUCUUUUUUCUUUUCCUUUUUUUUUUUUUUUUUCAGACAGUCUGGCUCUGUUGCCCAGGCUGCAGGGCGGUGCUGCGAUCUCAGCUCACUGCAACCUCCACCUCCCAGGUUCAAGCAAUUCUUCUGCCUCGGCCUCCCAAGAAGCUGGGAUUACAGGCAUGCCCACCAUGCCCAGCUAAUUUUGUAUUUUUAGUAGAGAUGGGGUUUCACCAUGUUGGCCAGACUGGUCUCGAACUCCUGAUCUCAAGCGAUCUGCCCGCCUCAGCUUCCCAAAGUGCUGGGAUAACAGGCAUGAGCCACCACGCCUGACCAAGAGAAACUAUUUCUUAGCUGACAUAUUCAUUCAUGUUUCAUAGUUCAGGAACACAAGUCAGUGACAAACUUCUAGAUAUUUCAACUCAAAGAAAUUCUUCAUAUUCCAAGAUCACUUUGUACUCUGAAAGAUACCAGCCUUCCUCAUCUCAAAAUCUUUUAUGGAAUCAUAAUUUCUGUAGAAAUCUGCGUAUGCCUUCUUUCUUGGUUCGGCCAUAGCAAUCUUGUAGAAAGCUGCAACCACCAGGGAUACCAUGAAUGCUCCAAUAAUAUGAAAUCACAGACGCUUAACCAGAAGGCUAUGCAUUGGAGGUUUUGUCAAAGCACCAGAAGCCAUGGUAGUUACUGUCCUUGAUAGGUGUGUAAACUUCAACACCAACAUCCUUCCCAGCUGUUGGAGAAAUGGACGGUCCCCACCUACAUUUUAUAGACAGUCCAUUCAUAAAACUCUCCUCCUGCCAGGGCACGGACUGAUGUGAAUCCACCUAAUGGCCCUAGGCAAUAGGUGCCUUUAUUGUCAUCCUUGUUUUACGCAUCAGAAACUGAGAGACAGAGAAGCUAAGUGAGCUGCAUAAAGCCACAGAGCUAGUAAUUGGUGGUACUGAUACGGGAGUGGGGGCAGGGAAGUGCUGGGAAGGGAAGGGCGUGGUCCCUGGGUAGGGCUUCACCCCUGGGCCUGUGCCCACGGACCUACGUGAGGACAGGCAUUUCUGUUUUCCUGCACGAAUGUUGCAUUUCCCAAGACCACCCUGGCUUGCCACGCCCCCAUCCUAUGCCUAUAGAAACCCCCAGACCCUAGCAGGCAGAGACACAAGUGGCUGGAUGCCAAGAAGAACGCACUGGUGGAAGAAGACACAAGCGACGGCCAGGUGCGGUGGCUCACGCCUGUAAUCCCAGCACUUUGGGAGGCCAAGGUGGGCAGAUCACUUGAGGUCAGGAGUUUGAGACCAGCCUGGCCAACAUGGUGAAACCCCAUCUUUACUAAAAAAAAAAAAAAAAAAAAAAAAAAAAAAAGAUACAAAAAAAUUAGGCGGGCGUGGUGGCAGGUGCCUGUAGUCCCAGCUGAGGCACUAGAAUCACUUGAACCCAGGAGGCAGAGGUUGCAGUGAGCCCAGAUCAUGCCACUGCACUCCAGCUUGAGUAACAGAGUGAGACUAAAUCUCAAAAAAAAAAAAAAAAAAAAAAGACACAAGCAACUAGACCUGGAGAAGAAGGAACUGGCAUGAGAGCACACCAUCAGGCACCGGCAGAUGCCAGCAGGCCAUCGACCGGUGGAACAACUUGGAGUUUGGCUGGGGUGGUGGGAGGAGAGCCUGGGCCACUCAGCGGCCCAGGUCCAGGGGAAAAUCGCCUUCCCACUCCAUCCCCUUUGGCUCCCCCAUCUGCUGAGAGCUACCUCCACUCAAUAAAACCUUGCGUUCAUUCUCCAAGCCUACGUGUGAUCCAGUUCUUCAGGUACGCCAAGGCAAGAAACCCCAGGAUACAGAUAGCCCUCUGUCCUUGAGAUAAGGCAAGGGGUCUAAUUGAGCUAACACAAGCUGUCUAUGGACGGUUAAACGAAAAGAGCACCCUGGAACACACGCCCACUGGGGCCUCAGGAGCUGUAAACAUUCACGCCUAGACGCUGCGUGGCCAGAGUCCCACACCCUGCCCGUCUGCCUGCUCCCCCUAGGGGUUUUGAGCAGCGAAGCACUGAGGAAGUGAGCCACACCCCCAUCGCAUGCCCUUCGAGGAGGAUAAGGGAACUUUUCCUGUGUCAGUACCAGUGUUUGAACC